AUAUACUUACAGUAGAAUUGCGAAUAUUGCAGCAAAAAAAGGAAAAUGUAAGUUAAACGUUAUAUGUGAAGCGAUUGAUAAGUGUCCGAAGCGACACAUAGAUAGCGCCAUAGUGGACACUUUUAGUGAUUUUUGACAACGCACUUUAACUAUAUCGGUGCCAUGCGAUUUCCAUUUAUUUUCGAAUCUGAAAAAAAUGGCUCGGUGGAAAAAACUGUUCGAGCAACGGUAAAAGUCGUCGAUGCCGUAAUACGAUAUCUAUAUACCUACUUUGGCGAGCUGUCACAAACACUAACGCGCAAUAAUGUGUCAGCGUUUGACAUUUGUUUUUCCGAAGAAUGACACUUUUCAACGACAACAGCAAUAAAUAAUAUAAAGUUUCAUUUUUUCAUCUUUGCCCAGCUCUUGGCAGUGAGAGAGAGAGAGAGAGAGAGAGAAAGAAAGAGAGAGAGAGAGAGAGAGAGAGAGAGAGAGAGAGAGAGAGAGAGAGAGAGACGGCGGUCUUUUCUAAUCCAGUUCCUGAUAUUAAACGUUAUACCACAACCAGAAAUUUUAUAUAUAGAACGAACUCGUAUCUCUUUCUAGAGGGAAUAAUAAUUAGACAUCCUACUGGAACUCAUAUCCUUCUAAAAUAAGAGAAGAUAUAUAAUCCAAAGACAUGUACUUCAAAGAUUACAUACAUCCCUUCUGGAUGUACUGAAUUUAGAUGUAUAUCAUUUUUUCUGAACAGUUUCUGCUGACGUUUAUUUAACGUCUUAUAAAAAAAAUGAUGUAUCUGUUGAUUACUCACUCAAAAGAUUUCACUGUAUGAAUUAUAACAA